UUUAAUUGAGAAGAAAAUUCACAUAAAAUUUUAAAGUGAACAAUUCAGAGGCACUUAGUAUACAUUCACAAUGCAAGCACCACCUCUAGCUCCAAAGCAUUUUCAUUGUCUCCUAAGGCAGUUCUAUACCCAGCACCCUCCUCAUUCUCCCCUGAUCCCUGCUCCUGGCAACUUCUCACCCACUUUGUCUCCACAGACUGGCUCACCCUGGACAUUCCCUAUAAACACAGUGACACGCUGUGGUCCUUUGUGCCUCUCUGAGCAUCGUGUGUUCAAGGUUCACCCAGGAGCUAACACCUGUUUUACAGCUGACGAUCCUCCACCAUAUGUAUGGACCACAUUUUCUUUAUCCGUUUGUCAGCUGAUGGACUUGUGGCUACUGUGAGGACUGCUGCUGCGAAGUCUGUGUAAGGGAUCAGUCCUGAUUUCCCCUCCUCUGGAUGAGCUCCCUGGGGUGGGACUGCUGGGCCGUAAUGGCAGCGCUCCGUGUAACCCUGUGAGGAACCACACUUGCCCGAUUUUAAGGUGUUUGCCGUGGCCUCUCAGAAGCACUGUCCACAGCUGGGGGUUUUUAGCAAGGGCCCAGGCAAGCCAUGGGAUCCAGGCAGGUUUAGGAACUGGUUAAGCAACAUGUCUGAUGGCAAGCCUGUUCUCCCUCUGCAGGGGAGGGUGGGGAGGGGGCUCGCCACAGCCCUGCCACCCCCUCCAGCCCCUUAGCAUAAAACGGCCUAACAGACAACCACCCUCCCCGCUACUCACUUGGCGUCUCCAACCCUUCUGAUUUCUGAGCAGCAGCAGCAUCACUCAGUGUCUGGGCGGGAGGAAGGAGCUCUGAAGACUUCUGUUCCUCUCCAUCCCAAUUGUCCCACAGAGCUGAGUUCAAAAAGCUUGGCCUGCUGCUCGACGGCACGCUGGCCCGAGGGGACCUCUCUCGGGACUUUCUCUGGCUAGUGCAGCUCCCUCGGGCAGGGGGGGUGCCCAGGAGGGCCGGAGAGCUGCAGCCACUGCUGUCUGGAGCCUCCCCUGCCUUACUGCCCGGACUGCUGGUGCUCAGGGGGCCUGUCUGCUCAAGGUUCAAGCGGUCAAUGGGAAUGGGUGACAGGGGCUCCACAUGCCAAUGACACUCGUCCACCGGAAUUGGAGGGUCGCUGUCCGGCAGGGGGCUGCUGUUGGCCUGACAGGAGGCCACCUCCUUCUCGUCCUCGCUGUCCUCCACCUCCACGACUUCACUUGUGAUGACCUGACUCGGUGGGCUGGGCCCUGGCGGCGAACACCUGUGGGGCUGCCCAGUGAAAUCGGCCAGAUGGGAGAUGGGACAGGGAGCCGGAGAGCAGCGCUGGGGGUGCGCAGGGUGGGGCCUGGCAGGGCUCCUGCUGUCGGGGCUGCCUGCACUGACGGAGACCAGGCCUGAGGACGACACGGGGGGCGUGAUGACGGAACACUGGCUUGCAGCUUCGGGCACACCCCUAUUUUCUAAUGGGGUCCAGCGCUUGACCUCAGCCGGCUGAUCCACUGGAGCCCGGGACCUGAGGCCUGUUAUCUGGGUCUGUGAAGAAGAGUCACGCCUUCUGCUGGCCAGUGGGGUGGCAGGCACGAACCAUGACAUAUCCGUGGUGCUGUCCCCCUCAGGGCCACUGUCAGGGUCACACGGCAGCUGAGGGGUCCCUCUGCUCCCCACAGAGCCCCGGUUCCCUGACAGCCUCCCAUCCCCGCACGGCAGUGAAGCCUCUCCUCUAGCUGGACUUUGGAAAGGUUCCUGAUCUGCAUCAACGUCAAUCACAGAAAACAGCUCAGAAGGCUUGGGGCUAACUUCUAGAACUUUCCUUUCUUCCAAGGGACCAUUAAAAACUGACUUUAUUUUGGUUUGUUCUAGCUCCAGCUCUUCAUCUGAAUCCAAUAAAAGGAUAAUCUCAUCUUCUUUGUUCUUGCUGGAUGGAGUAUUUUGAGAUCUGGAGCUCAAACAGCUAGGUUUUGACUGGGUUAGGUCGAUGGAAGGAGAUUUUUCUGGGGAGAUCAGAAUCCCUUUAUUUCUGCAUUCCAACAGGGAACUAUGUUCUUCGCCCUUCUGGACACCUGGAUCUUUAAAUAAUGUGAGGAGGCUCCUGCCCCUCCUCUGCUUCAAUGGUGAGUCCUGGGAGGCCGCCCUGGAAGCUCUGCCUUGUGACUGGGGCACUGGCAAGGGUGACUCACCCCUGAGACUCUGGCCCCGAGGGGGCUGUGACAGGGGCGGGUGCCAUGGGGGUGCCUGCUGGUGAGUGGGGAUACAGGGGCUCUCCGUCCCCUUUCCCGAGAUGGUGUCAUUGUCUUCCUGGAGAUGGCUCAUUAUCUGGGAUGGUCCAGGGCAUCUUCUGGGAGUUGAUGAAAACAUCCGGGCCUCAGGAGCAUCAGCUGAGUGCCAGAAAGCACCUUCCUUUCUCCCUGGCCCGCAGCCUCCAGAAGGGCGAGGGGAGCUGGAACGACCCAGCGCUCCCUCCGGGGAGCCUGCUUUCUCUCCCGCGCCCUGGCCCUUGAGCAGCAGGGGCGUGGACUGUCUUGCGCUCUUCCUUUUGGCUGGGGCCUCUUCUCUUCCGCUAACCUGGUCACUUCCUAAGAUCUGCACGGACACUGGACCAUCCUCCCCGAAUGGGUCAGUUUUUUCCUUGAUCUCUGGAGCCCCUUCCCCCCGGAGCAGCUCUCGCUGAGUGGCUGCAAAUUCAUAAAUUUCUUCCAUUUCUGCCUCAUUCACUUUUUCUCUGUCUUCUUCACAACCCUCAGGUUUCAUCAAAGCCUCUGCUUCUUCCUCUUCACCUGUCCACAUGGACCUCAAGAGUUCUUGGAAGUUCUCCGCGCGGCUUUCACAAUCCUUGUCUUCCUUCUCCUUCCACGGUGUGUCCUCUGAAUCUGUCAUGUCAGGUGCUUGUUCGCACAGAAGAACAAGCUCACUAACACCAAACCUGCAAGAGGAAAUGCCACGCAUCACUACCCUGCAGACGCGGUGGUUGGGCACCCCAGCGUAGGUGAGGACCGUCGGUCCUGACCCCUUCCCUGCUCUCGAGCAGACGGGCCGUGCUCUCAGCCAGCAACACCCCAGCACCUUGAGCUUGAAAAGAGACUCCCGGACCUUUAAGGCAGGGCUCACUGACUCUACUGCCCAAAGGGGCACAUCGGGCUGAGCUGAAGACAAGAGAAUGGUGCUGCUGCAAGGAGAGCAUGCUGCCUUGAAAGGCACUUGAGGCUCUGUGACUGACGCAAACCACAGAGACCAGACCUGUCCCCAUCAGCCCGGCCCAAUGGGCAUGCCAGCCUGCAGCCUCCUUGAAGGCUCCCUGGUCUGACUGCUACAUCAGGACCCCAGAGGCUGAGCUCAUCCCUUCCCAGGAGAGCACCCAAGGUUAUGCCAGGGCCUUGGGCGAAUAUGGCUUCAUCCCAGGGGCCCUCAACCUUGUCAGGAGACAGAACACCUUGUCUGUGGAGCCACCUGCCACCUCUCCUGACGCUGUGCGGAUGAGAGGGAUACAUGCUAACCCAUGGCAGUUGCACUAGACACUCUACCCACUUCUGUUUUCUGGGACGUGGGACAGAAUAGCCCCCACUGAGCUUCUAUGGCUGAACAACGGAAGAGAGGCAGCGUCUGGGGGCAGCUGAGCUGAGGGCCACCCUCUCAUCACACCCUCUCAUCACAGGGAGCUAAAAGCCACAUGACACGGCAGAGGCUGUCCUCAAUCCGUGCUGGGCUCUCCUGCCAGUGUCCGCUCCGGCCAGACUGCCAGUCACCAUGUCCCAGGCCGAGUCACUGGGGUUAACAGGGCAGGAAGGACGCAGGCCUGACCCUCCUGUGAACCGCCAACCUGCUGAUCCUCAGCAGCUAACGUGAGAUGCUGUGAAGGUAAAUGGCAAAGACACUCGGACCUGUGGGCCAGAGCGCUCAGGUCGGGGGCCAGCUGGGGAGGCACGCCGGGGUCCGCGGUAUAGAGGUAGUGCAGGAGCGCAUGGAUGGCCUCGGUGCUCACGUCACUCAGCAGCACACGCUGACUCCUCAGAUCGCCAUCCUCCACAGCGAAGAAGCCUUCACUGUUCACCUGAGAAUGAAAUAAAACAUGGGUGUGAUAUGGGGCAACACAGAGGGCCCAGGAGGCUCUGUAUGUCCCAGCACCGGCACUGGCCAGGUCCCACCAGCCUGCUGGUCAGGAACUCUGCGGUCAGGCCCUCAAACUUCUGUUUGCAAAAUCAGACUGUGAAAGACAUUCAAACACCCCAUUAGUUCCCUCUUGACAGACACAUCAGAGGCACUAGAACUUUCUGGUGGAGACCAGCAGCUGGCUUCUGGAUUGCCGCAGCACAACAUUCAAAUCAGAUGCAUGUCAGUACAGGUCAGCACAGAAAGAUCUGUCUGCAGCUCAGCCUUCAAGAGGUCGAUGACAACCUCAUAAUUACAGAAAUAGAAGAAAAGGGAACCGUUCUACAGAAAAUGGAUUUUGAUUCAGUCGAGAAAUCUGAUGUUCCCCAAUCCUCCACUCAUCUCCUCGGACCACCACCUCACCUGGAAUCUGUCUCCCCACUGCCGCAAGUGUAACAGAGGAGGGAGGUCAGAAGUCCUCCUGUAACGCAGGGUCCACAGAUGGCCUCUGGCGGGGAUUCAUGAAGCCCUGGCAGUUUUAUGCCAGUUUCACAGGUGUGUGGGGGUGUGGUCUUCUGGGGAAUCAUGUGUAACUUUCACUGCUCCCAAAGAGGCAUGAAGGACCAAUGACAUUUCAGUAACACUACUGAAGCCUUACAACAGUCUCUGUGAGCUAAGUUUUUACCACUACUCCACUGAGACAGCACGUUGACCACACUAAUAAAAAAUACCAUUUAAGAUCA